rnacentral:rRNA from 1 species
GACGUAAGGGGCCAGCGUUGUUCGGAAUUACUGGGUGUAAAGGGUUCGUAGGCGGUGCGGCAAGUUGGGAGUGAAAUCUCUGGGCUUAACCCAGAGGCUGCUUCCAAAACUGCUGUGCUUGAGUGUGGGAGAGGCGCGUGGAAUUGCAGGUGUAGCGGUGAAAUGCGUAGAUAUCUGCAGGAACACCCGUGGCGAAAGCGGCGCGCUGGACCACUACUGACGCUGAGGAACGAAAGCUAGGGGAGCAAACAGG